rnacentral:rRNA from 1 species
GACAGAGGGUGCAAACGUUGUUCGGAAUUACUGGGCGUAAAGCGCGUGUAGGCGGCUCGGAAAGUCGGAUGUGAAAGCCCUGGGCUUAACCUAGGAAGUGCAUUCGAAACUCCCGAGCUUGAGUUCUGGAGAGGAAGGCGGAAUUCUCGGUGUAGAGGUGAAAUUCGUAGAUAUCGAGGGGAACACCGGUGGCGAAGGCGGCCUUCUGGACAGUGACUGACGCUGAGACGCGAAAGCGUGGGGAGCAAACAGG